UACGGGGGGGGGCAAGCGUUGUUCGGAAUUACUGGGCGUAAAGGGCUCGUAGGUGGCCAACUAAGUCAGACGUGAAAUCCCUCGGCUUAACCGGGGAACUGCGUCUGAUACUGGAUGGCUUGAGUUCGGGAGAGGGAUGCGGAAUUCCAGGUGUAGCGGUGAAAUGCGUAGAUAUCAGGAGGAACACCGGUGGCGAAGGCGGAUCUCUGGGCCUUACCUGACGCUCAGGCGCGAAAGCUAGGGGAGCGAACAGG
rnacentral:rRNA from 1 species